rnacentral:rRNA from 1 species
UACGGGGGAGCAAGCGUUGUUCGGAUUACUGGCGUAAAGGGCGCGUAGGCGGUCAGCACAAGUCAGUUGUGAAAUCUCCGGCUUAACCCGGAAAGGUCAACUGAUACUGUGCGACUAGAGUGCGGAAGGGGCAACUGGAAUUCUCGGUGUAGCGGUGAAAUGCGUAGAUAUCGAGAGGAACACCUGCGGCGAAGGCGGGUUGCUGGGCCGACACUGACGCUGAUGCGCGAAAGCGUGGGGAGCAAACGGG